CACAGAUAUUCGCACAAUUUUAACCAUCGCUCUCAGCUGUAUUGCCAUCCUCCCAUUCUUGGCCUUGCUAGGCUGCUGUCUCCAUCAUCUAGGGGCUUGUGGCAAAGAGACCCCACAAAGGACUUCAAGACGGCAUCCCAUGCACCCGAGAGCACCCAAAGAGGAAGUCACA